ensembl:snoRNA Small nucleolar RNA SNORD52
UGGGACGAUGAUUUCUUAGACUAGAGUCUCUGAUAAACAUGAAGACUUUUCACAGUGCACUGACCA